UACCAGCGAGAAAAAGUGUUUGGCCUGAGCCAAAAAGAGGUUGAUCCACUUCAUUCGCCAAGCGAAUGAUCUUCGCUUCGUGUGAACAACAAAAACCACCAUAUCGCUCUUUCCUUUCUUCGGUGCUACCUUCUUUUUUCCAAGGGAUGGGGUUGGGGUGUAUAAUAACCCUUUUUUUGAGUAUGCCCGGAAACAACUCCUAGCUCAAUUUAGGAUCAAAUGUAGGAACCUCAUGGGUAAGGAUAAGGUAAUGGAAUUGAUAGAGAAAUUCAUAGACCUAGGUAGGAUAGGAAAAUUGAUAAAGGGAAUAGAGAUGAUGAUAGAGAUCAUACUGAGAAAGAGGAUAAUUCCGUACGGGUACAACUCUUAUUUGAACGAAGUGCAAAAAAUGCGAUCUUUUUUGUCUAAUAGAACAAACACUAAUACCUUAAUUGAGUCGGUAAAGAUCAAAUCUGUUUAUCAAAGUGCUUCUCUGAUUGCUCAAGACAUCUCUUUUCAACUGAGGAACAAUCCAAUCUCAUUUCGUUCUAUUUUUAGUAAAAUAGUGAAGGAUAUUCCAUUAAUAAUGCCAAAAGGGGUGGAGGGGAUACGUAUUUGUUGUUCUGGUCGAUUAGGGGGUGCGGAAAUAGCUAGAACUGAGUGCGGAAAGUAUGGAAAAACAUCUUGUAAUGUAUUUAACCAGAAAAUCGAUUAUGCUCCUGCGGAAGUAUCUACUCGUAACGGAAUUUCAGGUGUCAAAGUGCGGAUCUCAUAUAGUCAAAAUAAGAAGGGACGUGCUAUAUCCGAAACGUACGAAAUAUAGUAAAUAUUUUAAAUGCAGAUGUAGUAGGGGUCGCGAACCGGAUGGUACACAACUUGGUUUUGGAAGAUAUGGCACCAAAAGUUGUAGAGCUGGUCGUCUUUCAUAUCGAGUCAUUGAAGCAGCGCGUCGGGCUACAAUCGGACAAUUCCAUCGUGCUAUGAGCGGACAAUUCCGAAGAAAUUGUAAGAUAUGGGUAAGAGUUCUCGCAGAUCUUCCUAUUACGGGGAAACCCGCAGAAGUUCGAAUGGGAAGAGGAAAAGGAAAUCCGACGGAUUGGAUUGCUCGUGUGUCCACGGGACAAAUCCCAUUUGAAAUGGAUGGUGUGAGUUUGUCAAAUGCUCGACAAGCCGCUAGAUUAGCGGCGCAUAAACCAUGUUCGUCAACCAAGUUUGUUCAGUGGUCGUAACGUAAUUGGUUAGUGGGGAAAAACCGGGCCGGGACUCAAAAGAAUUUGGCGAAGUGUUUGUUCCUGAACGAGGGAAGUGGAAAGACAAAGAGGGAUAGGGAGCUCGCCCCCUUCUUUUUUGUAAUCGCCGAAAUUGUACGACGACCCUUCUUGUUCCAGGCAUACGACCCUGAGACAUGAUGGUGUCACUUUUCCGGCCCGGUAAAGUGACAAUGAUAUAAAUAAGAAUAAGAAAGAGAAGCGUGAUGUUGUCGUGUUGUCAGCAAUCAAAUUAUCGUAAAUAGAUAGUACGGUUGCGUUGUUUCAAUUUCUGUUCGUACUCUGGUUGCUGUGGCUGCAGCUCGAUCUUGGCAAAUCUCUCAAAUGGAUGUCAAAAAUGCUUUCCUUCAUGGUGAUCUACAUGAGUUUUUUCUAUAUGCAGCCACCUCUGGGUAUUGAAGUUCCUGAUGGUCAUGUUUGUCGCCUUCGAAAGGCCCUCUAUGGGAAAAAAGCAACCACCUCGUGCUUGGUUUGAGCGGUUCAGCUCUGUGGUUCAAGCUGCUGGUUUCUCUUCUAGUGAGCAUGACCCUGCACUUUUCACUCAUACAUCUGACCGCGGUCGUACCUUGCUUCUUCUCUAUGUUGAUGAUAUGUUGAUCACUGGAGAUGAUCAGAAGUACAUUGCUUUUGUUAAUAAAAAGUUGAGUGAGCAAUUCAAGAUGUCAGAUUGAUUUUCUCUCCAUUAUUUUCUGGGAAUUGAGGUUGAUAAAACUAAUGAUGGUUACUAUUUCUCUCAGCAUCGCUAUACUCAGGAUUUGAUCUCACGCUCAGGUCUUACCGAUACACACACUGCUGCUACACCCAUGGAGCUCCAUCUCCAAUUGCGCCCUAGUGAUGGUACUCCUCUUGAGGGAUACCACUCGCUAUCGUCAUCUUGUAGGCAGCCUUGUGUACCUCACCGUGACCCGGCCUGACAUUGCUCAUGCAGUCCACAUUGUCAGUCAGUUUGUCAGUGGUUACUUGAGGGAGAUGCAAAUACUUCAUUCUUCCAUAGUGCUGCCAAUGGAAGACACAUAAAAUGUAAUAUUGCUUCUUUGGAACAUGAAGGAAAUGUUAUACAAGAUGAGAAAGAGUUGCAAGAACACAUUUCUAGUUACUAUAAGAGACUAUUUGGUUCAGAGGACAGGGGGGACAUAUCUCUUGGUGGAAGCCCCUUGGUCAACAGAGCACAUGCUAUCAGAACUAGACAAUGAAGAGUUGACUAAGCCUUUCACUAUGGAGGUUUUAGAGUUAGUAGUUAAAGAGAUGAAAACCAAUACAGCUCCUGGCCCAGAUGGCUUACCAGUAAUCUUUUAGAAACAUUUUUGGGAGAUGGUUAAAGAGAUGGUCAAAAGAAUGCUUGAUAGCCCGCAUGCUGAGGAGUUGCAACUUAGAAGACUUAAUUAUGGGGUGGUUACUCUGAUUCCUAAAACGAAAGAUGCUGCAACUAUCAACCAAUAUCGGCCAAUAUGUUUAUAUUAUGUUUGUUAUAAAAUUGUGACUAAAGUACUGACAAAUAGGCUUGAGAGAGUUGCAGAUAAGGUGGUGAGUAAGAGUCAGACGGCAUUUAUGAAAAACGGAAAUAUUUUAGAUGGGGUGGUCACUAUCCAUGAGGUGUUUCAUGAGCUUAGGAGGACUAAACAAGAGGGGGUCAUACUAAAGCUAGACUUUGAAAAAGCAUAUGACAGGGUGAAUUGGGAUUUUCUACAAGAGGUUUUGCUUAAAAAGGGUUUUCUUUAGUGAGAAGUGGAGAGGUUGGAUUAAACAAGUGGUAGAAGGAGGUGCAGUGAGUAUCAAUAUUAAUGGAGAGGUUGGCCCAUAUUUUAAGAGCUACAAAGGAUUUUUGCAGGGUGAUCUCACCUCUUCUUUUGAAUUUGGUGGUGGUCACAGAAAAGGGGGUCACUCAAGUGUACAGCAUUCUUUGUCCGUCCAGAUCGCGGUACAUGUUCGGACUGCUCUGGAUUGUAGAGGAACGAAUUUCAGGCUACUUUAGAUGGGGUGGGCUGCACCCAUUCCCGGUACGUACAAGGUGGGCACCCAUUCUCGGUUAAGAUGGGAAAUCCUAUAGGGGUAGAAAUGCUACAUGAAAAAAAUCCACUCUUGUUGUAUUAGGAAUUGAAAGUAAGUCAACUCCUUCCUCUUAGAGCAACUUGUCGCAGCUGUGACUACUCUUUCUAUUUGAAUUGAAUGUCAGCGAAUCACUUGUUUCACUAAUGUGACUAGUCUUGACUGCAAGUUUUUUCUUUCUAUAGAGAAGUGACUGCGCUAGAGAUGCUUAUUAAAGGUUUGCUUGGUGGCUUCCUUGCUUGACAGGCUUUCCUUGUUGAUUGGCUUGGUCUGCUAGUUCCCGGAAAUCACUUCCUCUAAGUCUUAAAUAGCAGAACCUACUCUUUCUUCAAAGAAUGUAGCAUACCUAAGAAAUGAUUUCUCUAACGAGUCAAAUCUGUUGUGAUAUAAGGAAAUGCGCGGAUCGCUUCUUCUACCCUUCUCUUAUUCGCAUUUCCUGCUUACUAUUGAAAGAAAAGCUGUUACUGCUGCAUAUCCCCUUUUUCCUCUAAUUCGAGCGAGUAAAGGCGCAGCUUCCUCAUCUUUGCUUUAUAGUUUGAUAUAAUAUAGAAUUGGAUUUUGCUUUCCUUUAAGGAGCUCUAGCUAUCUUGCUGAUCCACCAGUUCAUACUAUUAAUGAAAGCUCUUUCACCCUGCCCGCGGGUAAUCCCUUACUGAGCCUACUCAAGCAAUCUCCCAUUAGCCGCUCUUUACUUUAUAGUCAAGCGAUUGUAAACUCCUUAUUUAGGCUAGCGACUUUGCUGAUUAACAAGAUUAUCGCAUUGGAGCUGUGACAGUUAUGUAAACUACUUCUCUAGCAAGUAAUGAAUCUGAGGUCAAAGCCAAUGAGUACGCCGGAUGUUGCAUUUUCGCAGUGAGGGAAGGUUGGCUUGACAGGCUUCGUUCUGUAUGUUGUAAUCUCUUCUCAUGGUCUUUGUUCGCUUUAUUAUCCCAUUGUGAGAAUGGCUAGGACUGUGGAUCCACACGCCCCCCUCUAGUCAGUACUUUCCGAGUAGCGCAAGGCUUCUUCGUUGGCAAAUAAACGAAUUAAUAAACUAAUUGCCUAAUAUGACGUGAACUUGAACUAGCAUUGAUCAAGUCCAUGAGCUCAUAAGAAGGAGUUCUUCAUGUGAUAAAGUCCAUGGCUUAGCUUAAUUCAAUAAAAAAGAAAGUAUCCAAUCGACUUUAGGAGCGCCAUAUGUUUCUAUCUGAAACGGUAAAGCGAGGCUCGCUAUAAGGGUCAUAGCUAGUUCAGGAUUGGUAGGAAAGUAAUACAAAUGAUUGUAAUAUGACAACCCCCAGGGGAGCUAGCCUUUGUGUUAAGAUUAAAAAGAAGAGCCCUCUUUUCAUACGACUCGGUGAUUCCAUUGCUCUAUCCGGCCGCAAGAUUCGAUCGCGUACAGCACGAGCACGAGAUGGGUUGGGGACUUAGAAAUGAGCUAUGCUCCAAGAAUUGACCCCUGAACUACCUUUGCCCGCCUUUUCUUGUAGAAUCCAUUCCCCCUCUUUUAUAUAUUUAGAAUGCUUUUAGGGCUAGUGGAAUGAGGCUGGAACCCAUCAAUAUCACUAAACCGGGAGAGUUGCUUGUGUUGGGUUCAAAGUUUCGCUCUACCAAGGCAAGAUAUAAUAUGCAUCCAGCUUUAGCUGAAUAUCGUGAGUGUUCCGCGAAGUUUGCUAGCCAUUGGCCUUACGUUCAGGAUACUCCUUUCUGUCUUUGCGAUGUUUGGUUAUAAGAGAAUGUUGCUCUUCAGAAAACGCAUAUAGUGGCCUUCGUCGAUGGGACAAACGCUCCAGUGUAUGCGUUACAAGGCAACUAGCAUUUUGUCAUGGAAGUUCGUGAAAGAAUUUUCUUGUUUUUCGUUGGAAAAACCAACGCCGACGUCAAGAUCAGUCUCCUUUCAAAAGUGAGCGAGCAGAGCUGAAAAAGAUGGAGUUACCUGGAGAUGAGAUUUCUUUCUACGGAUAUGAAGGAUAGAAAUAUGCUAUUUGCUGCUAUUACAACGAAUCAACCAAUUCGUAGUAAGUGUUCCCGUCUUCCCGAUCUACAUGAUUUUUUCCCAACCAACAUCUCUCAGAACUUUGCUAUAACGCUAAACUUGGAUAUAACGCCAAUGCCUGAGCGAAUUGCCGGCGUCACAAUAGUUUUACAAAUAGAAGAGUAUUUGGGCCAAAAUGAGUCCGAACAGGGAGCAGUCAAUUUAGCUAGAACAGUAUUGGGAGCCCGCCACCGAAAUGGCGAAACUUGGCAGGGCAUAAUAGAGGAUAUUCGGGCGGGUGGUGGUAUGGAUAAUUUUAUCCAGAAUCUGCCUGGUGCCUACCCAUAAACCCCAUUGGAUCAAUUUGCCAUUAUCCCAAUAAUUGAUCUUCAUGUGGGCAACUUUUAUUUAUCAUUUACAAAUGAAGUCUUGUAUAUGCUACUCACUGUCGUUUUGGUCGUUUUUCUUUUUUUUGUUGUUACGAAAAAGGGAGGUGGAAAGUCAGUGCCAAAUGCAUGGCAAUCCUUGGUCGAGCUUAUUUAUGAUUUCGUGCUGAACCUGGUAAACGAACAAAUAGGUGGUCUUUCCGGAAAUGUGAAACAUAAGUUUUUCCCUCGCAUCUCGGUCACUUUUACUUUUUCGUUAUUUCGUAAUCCCCAAGGUAUGAUACCCUUUAGCUUCACAGUGACAAGUCAUUUUCUCAUUACUUUGGCUCUUUCAUUUUCCAUUUUUAUAGGCAUUACGAUCGUUGGAUUUCAAAGACAUGGGCUUCAUUUUUUUAGCUUCUUAUUACCUGCGGGAGUCCCACUGCCAUUAGCACCUUUCUUAGUACUCCUUGAGCUAAUCUCUUAUUGUUUUCGUGCAUUAAGCUUAGGAAUACGUUUAUUUGCUAAUAUGAUGGCCAGUCAUAGUUUAGUAAAGAUUUUAAGUGGGUUUGCUUGGACUAUGCUAUUUCUGAAUAAUAUUUUCUAUUUCGUAGGAGAUCUUGGUCCCUUAUUUAUAGUUCUAGCAUUAACCGGUCUGGAAUUAGGUGUAGCUAUAUUACAAGCUCAUGUUUCUACGAUCUCAAUUUGUAUUUACUUGAAUGAUGCUACAAAUCUCCAUCAAAAUGAGUCAUUUCAUAAUUGAAUAAAAACGAGGAGCCGAAGAUUCUAGGGGGCUACAGCUGCGCUUUUGCAGCACUGAACAUGGUUCCGGGUACUCAAGAUAUUGCGUUUGUGUUUGGAGAGGUGUAGAUUGUAGAUUCCAGCCGAGAAGACCAGGAAAAGAUAAGGAUAAAGAAUGUCAUAUAUCUCAGGAGCUAGAUCACUUCCCGAUGAACAAGUAAGAAUUGCCUCAACAAAAAUGGAUGGAAUUGGACCGAAAAAAGCCAUUCAGCUUCGUUAUCGAUUAGGUAUCAGUGGGAACAUGAAGAUGAAUGAGUUAACUAAGUAUUAGAUCGACCAAAUUGAACAAUUGAUAGCUCAAGAUCAUGUUGUUCAUUGGGAAUUGAAGAGGGGAGAACGAGCAGACAUCGAACAAUUAAUUUCUAUUUCUCGUUAUCGUGGAAUUCGUCAUCAAGAUGGAUCGCCCUUACGCAGUCAACGAACUCAUACUAAUGCAAGGACUGCUCGCAAGCAAAUUCGGAAAUGAAAGAAGGCUACCGAAAGAACAAGCAACGGAUUUCGCGCUCAUCCCUUGCUAAAGCGCAUACGUUUUCUUGCUCCUUGGUACUUGUCUGAUCAAUCACACUGUUCAUUAGUUCACUUGAUUUUUCGUUCUAUGUCUUGAACCGCUUACUAAUCACGUAUACAUAUAGUAGGCCCCCUUCGCCACUCCACGUCUGGCCCGUCUUGGUCUCGCUCACUUCGCCCGCCUAUCGUAUCGGCUCGGCUUCGUCCGUCAAGCGACAGCUUCUGCCUCUGACGGCUUCACUAUCGCUCAUGACUGGUAGUACUCUAUGUAGUAGUCGGCCUUUGUUAAGCUUCGCCAGAAGCGACUAGUCGCUUCCCGAAUGCCUCUUUCUUGUACUAAUUAAUGUGUAUGGUCUAGUCUUUCCAAUGCCUCCUUCCUUGCCGCCAACGCACGCUAGAUGGAGAGUAAGCAAGCUACCUUGCUUGCAUUGCAUUCGUUAAACGGUAGCUUCCGCACCCUUCCUGCCUGCUUCAAUUGAUGUGAAUGAUCGUGUCUUCGACAUCAAUUUCAGUCUGAUUAGAUAUGUCAUUGAAACAAAUCUGUUUUGUCUCUGUUUUCUUUUCGGAUGAUGAGGAUGAGCCAGCCGAUCCUAACAUAAUUUUGGAGGAGCCGGACGACGAAGCCUCAAAAUCAGAUAAAGAUGUCUCCGACGCGACCGGACUUCCACUAGAUUUUUAUAGGGGUCAGGAGGGAAAAGAUAUGCUAUUUUCUAUCAGUCCCAAGCGGAUACUCCCCAGCUUCCAUGGUCCGCUUACCGAGGAAGAGAUGCGGGCGGACCCAGGGCCAGAGCAAGUUGGGUUGGGGUAUAGAGCUGUAAGCGCGGUGGGGGUGACAGAGGAUGUGCUCGUACGGUUCAUAGUUGGGUAUGAUAUUCUCGUGGAUUGUUGGGAACGUCCUCUAUAUUCGAAAUAUGCCUUUCUAGGAGCAUUACGAUCUGCAGCUCAAAUGGUCCCUUAUGAAGUCUCUAUUGGUCUUAUUCUUAUUGUGCGCCUUGUGAGCACGUUUGGAUCCGCGAAGGCAAUCGCUCGGAUCUUCCCCUAACCCAACCCGGGAACGGACCGGAGGGAACCGCAGCAUGAGGAAUGUCUGCGUCUCGUCGCAAGGCUCAUUUUGAGUUUUGGGUCAUAGGGCGGGCAGUGCAGUCUGGGGCACAAGGGUCCUGGUACUACCCAGGUGCGAAGAACCCCGGAGGCGACUGCAAUGAGAAAAAAUGUCACUCACCGGCCUAAACGACGAGCAAACACUCGAACGUGAGAGCAAGGGAUCACCCAACGAAUGGACGAGCUCCAAGGAGGGAGGAGAGAGGGAGGCAAGAACCAUGCUUUCAGAGAAGUGGCAGUCCGAAUCCACUCUGACAAAAUAAAAUAACAGACUAAGCCGUGCCAUAAGGGGGGCAUUCUCCACACGGGACAGGGCCAAGGCCUUCAUGUAUGGGUGACAGAUCGGCCAUAGGAGUACUCCGGGAUAUACACCAGGGCAACUAAUGUUGAGCAUACGAUGAUGCCGCCCGUUUUCAUUUCGUGAAAUUCCUCGGCAGAGGAAAGGGCUGUAGGUGAUGGCGCGUUCUGCUUCUUAGGGCGAUGAAAUCAUUCCUAUGGGAUCGUGCGUGGCAGCUGGUAUAGAUGAUGAUGAAAGGCGGGCCGCUUGAACCGGGACCUAUUCUCAUAAUAGGCAGCAAGGAAAGCUAAAUAGGAAAGGGGGCGACUGAUGACUGCCUUUUUCGUUAGAAAUCAAAAAGGGUGGAACGUGGAGCUAAUAGGCUACAAGUAUAGCCAAAGAAAGAUGAGACGAGACGGACUGUCAGAGGACGCAGCGGGACUACCAGGGGAAAGCCCGCCCCCGCUAGCUAACAUAGAUAUCUAUUCUCGGUGCGCAUAUUCGAGAUUUAGAAUCUCUUUUCGACUAGGCCAGGCCGAAUCGGGCCACCACUUGGGAUGGGAAUGGCUCAGCCCACAUGCAUCAUUUGAUGAAAGCACUCCAGUCCAGUCGCCUCCGAUCAGUGGCUUGUCAACCACCGGACCGUAGCUCCUCACCAAAUGCCCCUGCGUUGGGGCAACACAGCACAUGACUAGUUCGCUCAAGGACCACACCCUCUCGAGAGCAGGAUGCCGGCCGAGAUGGAGCGCCAACCUAGACUUUCCUUGGGCUUGCCUUGCUCCAACAUCUAAAUAAAGGGCGGGCGCCGAAAAGGAAGCAGUGAUGCCUUUUCAACGAAAGCUUAGCUUGGUAGGCGCAGCUUACUCACCCUACUCCCUUAGACAAUGCAAUGCUCUGAACACGAAAGUUUGCAGUUCAGCCCUGUUCUCCCAUGCAGAGUCGCAGGCAGCGCCUCGGAUAAAAGCACGGACGAGCCACAUGCAGGGAAACUUGCAUGUGUGGUUCUGGCCGGGGACCCCGGUAUACUGUACUAAUAUGUGUAGGUCCCUGUAAUUCGAGUGAGAUUGUCAUGGCGCAAAAGCAGAUAUGGUCCGGUAUUCCCUUGUUCCCCGUAUUGGUUAUGUUCCUUAUUCAUCGUCUAGCAGAAACUAAUCGAGCUCCGUCUGAUCUCCCAGAAGCGGAAGCUGAAUUAGUUGCAGGCUAUAAUGUAGAAUAUGCGCGAGAUGCGAUCCUUAAUAGUUCACUGUUGGCGGAAGCCAAUGUCUCGGGGACUCAUUCUGACUUAAACCAGGGGUGGGUCUUUACCAACUUCCAAAUCCAAGAUUUAGGAAAAAAAGAGGGGCAGGGCACUCUUCAUUCUUCAUUCGAAACUCAUGAAUGUCGGGUCGGAGGUUUUUGCCUUGUUAUCAAAAAGGGGAGUUGGGUAAAGCAAACUCCCUCCUUGGACGAGCACGGGGCUUAGUCAAGUAGAACCGGGUUGCGCUGCUUGAUGCUCCGAUCGAAAACAAAUCAGUGGGGCCAUGCCGGUACGAUAGAAUAUGCGUUAGAAAGGUCAAUCCCUCCCCCCCCCCUUUUUGAUUUUUUUAAUGAAAAACCGGGCCGAACUUCUAAAAAGCAGCGCACCCGCUUCCAUAGAACAAUAUCGCGGCAACGUAGACCUAAGUGGAUUUAUUGGAUCCUGGGGAACCAUCACAAGUACGGCCGGCCUAUAGAACGAGAAUGCCAUGUCAUCCAGUGGAGCUUAGAAGAAGGUGACUCGGAGCCUAAGGAAGGUGACUCGCGCAGACAGCUGACUCCUUUUCAAUAGAAAGGAAUAGCCAAACCUACCCAGCUGGCUGGUCAAUCUCAGUGAUCUUAUCGGCCGGCAAAGCGGAGACGGACGACCACGGUCCCGACCUUACCAGCACCGUAGGUUUACUAAUCAAUGAAGCCCCUCAACCUACUAUCUUUUCUUACAAACUCAACCAAGCCUAACCAAACCCCAUGCUCACGACAUGUUAUUGAUAUUGAUUGAGUUGGAGGGAGUCAGAGACUACCACGGAAUCCUUCCAUAGUCACCCCGGUGACCUUCGUCACCAAAGCGUCACGACAGUUUCCAAGACCCCUCAUAUAAUCUCCAGUGGGGAUCAGUCGUAGCACGUAGGAAUGCCGACCACUACAUAAGCCACGUCUGGCUGAGGCGAGCAGCAAGCGGGGGAGAGUAUUUUGAAAUACAAGAAUGUUGGGGUGGGACGCUAGUACUUAAACUAGGGUUGCUUCUUAGCGCUAAUCUUGUGUUUUUCAGCAGCUAGUUGUAGCGCGCCUUCCCUCCUUCUCUCAUUUCGGAAGGAUUUGGCAGUAUUUUCUUAUGAUGACCUCGUCGAGAGAGUACGAAAUAUCGGUGUAAAAGAUUGAGUGGGAUGGUUAUAGUAAGGGGCAAACCAAGUGCUUGCGCGAAGAAGCGAAUCAAUCAGAAUGGAGACAAGGAAAGGAAUCGGGGCCCGGCCCGGUAGCGAUGCCUCUCACGCGGAUGGGAGUUACUUUUCUUUAUCACCGUAAGCAUUACGAAAUGGACCCGCAUUCCCCUUUGCUUUUCUUUUGCAACUAAGCUUAAAAGAAACAUAGUAGUCUUUCAAGCCAUUAGAAAACUCAUUAAGUGCUUUGUUGAGUGAAUGCCUGUUGAGAAGCUUAGGUCAUACAUUUCCAGCUAAUUAGAAUACAACCAUGAAGGUGGGGUUCGAAUGCCAUACAACUAUGUAUUCUGGUAAGUAGGAUUGGAAUGUAGUCCCUUUUUAUUGGAUUCGCCGCUCCGUUAAGUGAAAUUCAAAGUAGGUGUGGGUCUAGGUAGAGGAAGUCAUAAAUCAAGUAUCAAGUAUUGUUAUAAAUAUCAUAUAUAGUAGUUGCCAAACUCACAAGCAUCACACACUUCGAUCUACUUUAUUGAAUAACUUAGCUAGAUAGAACCGACUCAAGCUUUUAAAUGAAAGAAGCAAUAAUGGCAUAAUUUCUGUCUCAAGACCUCUUGCAGCUACAGCCAAUGCAGCACCUCCUUGAUCAACAUACAACACAGCCCAUUACGCCUUGCUCCAGUCGCAGUAUAAAGAGAGACUAGAACCUACCGGGGAGCCCUCGGCAGAGUCCCUAUCGUUGUUGCAACAAUUACACACAGAGUUCCGGAAUUUCACAUUUGUGAGAAGAAAGGGUAUGUGUCCGCAACCUAGUUUUGUAUCUGCAUAGUGAAGGAAAGAAAGAAGCAUGUUAAGGUGACUUGAGGGAAAGACUGAUCCUGAUAGACAAGAAUGGUAUGGUUGGAUUGCCAGUGAAUAAGCAGCAAGGCUAAAGCAGGGAUUGGAUUUACUUCUUCUAUUGUCAGUAGCAUCAUUUGCCUUCCACCCUCUCAAGAACUUCCUGAAGCCCUGAGACACUUGUUGCCAAUAGUCUGGAAUGGAACAUUUGCAACAGUUCUUGUAGGCCAUUUCUGUAACAGCAUAUCUCUAAACCCUUCUUGCGGAUGGUUCAAAACGAAACUUAGUGGCAGCCCCUAUCUUCCCCAUUUUCUAGAAGUAAAGGACAAUGAUCUGACCCAGCUUGCAAGAGGGAUAGUAAAACUUAGGAAAUAAAUCCUCAGAAGUUGAAGAAACCAGAACUCUAUCCAAAACUUCUCUCACUGGCCUGUCUUGUUUGUUAGUCCAGGCCACCAACCCUUCUUAGUUCCUGUAGUUCAGUUUCAAAUAUGAAAGCAUUAAAAGCUUCCAUCCUAUUAAUAUGUAUUCUGCCAUUGUUUCAUGAGCAAAUCAGAUCAUGACCCGCAAAGGUAGAUCAAGACUCUGCACAAAGUUAGUGAGCUCUGACAAAAACAUAGCUCUUAAAUUUGGUUGGACCAUAAACAUCCACCCAAGCAAAAUUAUCACAAAGCCUCUAUACUCAAACACCAUGGAGAAAUUGACCCUCCCCAAUGAGGUCUGCAUCCAUGACAUCCAGAUUGACUCCAAUAAGCAUUCCACCUUUACUGCCACUGGCUGGCUUGCAAAACCACUUGAAAAGCUUUCUGCCACCAAUUGCCAUUAACUCUUUAUCUGAGAACUGUUCUCUCUUAGUUUCUUGCACACAAACUAUGUCCACCCACUCUAUCACUUCAGAAGGUUGCCCCCUUCUGCCUGGCCAGGCCCCUCACAUUCAAGAUUAGUGUCUUCAUGGCGGUAUCUGUUUUUUGUUAUGCCUCCUCUUAGCUCUGCUCGUAGUGUUCUUGUCACCAACUGGUAUACAAGUACUGUGAUUAUCUAACUCUUCAACAAUCUGAGUAAUAUCCUCAUUCUCUGAAUCAGAGCUUAACUCGACACUGGAAGACUGCUCCUUCUCAUGAGCAGCUAACUUCUUUUUCUGAGCAGCUUCAUAAAGAAAUGCUUGAGCAAGUUCUCUUGCUUUAAUAGAAUUUAUAGACCUGUCAAUUUCCUCCUGUGUACUGCCCAACACUAGACCACUAUCUACAGCAGAUUUUACUAGACUAGCAGAAUCAAUGGAAUUGCAAAUAGCAUAUCUGUUAGUAGAAGACAUACCUGGUUCAUCAAGAUUCUUGCGUGAAGCCAUCCUUUCUGCACGUUGCUGAAUAGGCAUGCCAUCCUUCGGGAUCCUAUCCUAGCACUUGUCCUCGUUGCUUUAAUUCUUGCGUUUGCACCUCAUUGAACUUCUCUUGUUCUUUGGUCAUUCCAGAAAAAACCUCCAUACCUUAAUAAUAGGGGCUUGUGUAUAAAGGAAAGCAGCAAACCGGUCAAAGGCGAAGCUGUUCUAUCUCAACUCUCUGACUUGAGGAAGAUGUGGCGGAUCUCAAGGCUGGCUCUAUUCCAAGUACAAGUUCCGAGGUGAAAUGCGUUGAUGUGGCCAAUCGAUAUACAGUAUAGUUGAAUGGUUCGACAAGUUCACAUGCCGGAGCUACCUGUUCUCCGCGAUUCAAUUGGUUCUUCUGCCUUGCCUUCUUAUCUAUCGGUCCCAAGGUCAAAGAAAUAGGUUCAGUGGUUCGACCUCCCAAAGGUUAAAGAAAGACAUCGGUAUUAAGACCACUCCCUCCGGAUGAUGAUAUGUCCCAACCAUCUAUAGCCCAUGGUUCGUUACUCGGGAAUUCGGAGAGGUCAGAUGAGAUAGAUGGGUGUGUUCAAAAUGGAAUGAUCCCCUUUUCUCAUGUUUGCAUUUUUGUUGUCCACAAACAAAUAAAGAGUCUGAAAAGACGUACGCAUAACAGACUCGGUACCUAGGUCAAUGGGUUCAGUGGAGAAUUGCAUUACUGUAAUAGCGAAGGUAUCUAUGAAAUGCAGUACCAAGGUCAAUGAAAUUGAAAGGCACCUCUGACAACAGAAUCAAAAGGGAUUUGGCGGCUAUAGACGACUCAGAGGGGUUUUCAUAAAGAGAAGCUUUCGCGCAGUACACCUAUUUUUCUAUAGAAGUGAAUGGCCCCUUAGUUGGCUAAUCUGAUCAAUCGGCAGGCUCAGCCUCUACGUCGUAUUCUGAUAUAGAAAGAAAAGAACCGAACUCCUGGAGGGUGAAAGAAGAAUCUCAAGUUGAUACUCUGCCAAGGGAUCUGUCCACAACUGGUACUUCACAUGCCUUAGAAGUAGAUUUGAAUGAGAAUGAAUGAAAUGAGAAAACGUUACUAGGAAGGUGAACUCGCUAUCAAACUACUGCCUGCGCUAGGGGAAGCGCGAAAGAAAAACCUGUUUCAAGCAAGAUCUGAUACCCUUGAAGGACUCCCAGGAAUGAGAGAGCAAGUACAAGGACAAUCUUAUUUUCUAAGGAUAGGCGGUAUUCCAUAAUUAACAUAGUUCGGUUAGAGUGGAUUUGAAAAGCUACAGCAGAUCGAUAAGUUGCUAAUUUAGCUAAGUCAACUCCACUAAGGAAUCUAGCUCUCCUUAAGAGGGUAUUCCCAAUGAGACAAGUAGUUUAUCGAAGGGACCCUCUGUCUGAAGAUUGUAGUCCGGAUUUCUCGGAAUAGAAUAAUUGAAUGAGCAGGUGCAGAUGGUCAAUCUCCAUCUUGAAGCCGAGUCUCUCUGUCUUCUUAUUUUAUAUAAAGAUAUAGAGAAUAACUUGAUCAAUCGUAGAAUGAUUUCGUGAUCUGAUCUUCAUUUGGGCGGCUUUCGCUCAAUCCAUGGCUGUAGUGAUAAGGCAAAUCAAAGGGAGAAAAGUGUAUGGCCAAGGCUCAUUCAACCCGCGAGAAAAGUGAGUCUUGAACGAAGGAAGAAUAGUUGCAGGAUCCUGGGUUCGGUAUGAUCGUUCUUCCAAUUCAUACUAGCUACGAUCUUUCCCUGCUUAGAGGAUCCAGCAGUAAGGGACCUACCUAUGGCCAGUAAAGAACCCACCUAUGGCUGGCUCCUCAGACAGCUUUCGGAGCUUCUGCUUCACCGGUGUAACACAAGUGGUUCCUGGGCUUUAACUAACUAAGUGCUGGCAGUGAUUUUAGGUUGGUUUCAUGGUUUCUUCAUUCUUGUACCCUGUGUUAAGCAUAUAGCUAGCGUUUCUGGUGAACUUCACUUCACACCUAAAAAAUCCCGAUUGGAAAGAGAGAAACUUGACACACUACAGUGAUAGGCGAGGGCGAGCGAACCCCGUUAGCUACAAUUCUAUAUCUUCUUUUUUGACCCCUUUGAUUUGCCUUAUCACUACAGCCACGGAUUGAGCGAAAGCCGCCCAAAUGAAGAUCAGAUCACGAAAUCAUUCUACGAUUGAUCAAGUUAUUCUCUAUAUCUUUAUAUAAAAUAAGAAGACAGAGAGACUCGGCUUCAAGAUGGAGAUUGACCAUCUGCACCUGCUCAUUCAAUUAUUCUAUUCCGAGAAAUCCGGACUACAAUCUUCAGACAGAGGGUCCCUUCGAUAAACUACUUGUCUCAUUGGGAAUACCCUCUUAUGGAGAGCUAGAUUCCAUAGUGGAGUUGACUUAGCUAAAUUAGCAACUUAUCGAUCUGCUGUAGCUUUUCAAAUCCACUCUAACCGAACUAUGUUAAUUAUGGAAUACCGCCUAUCCUUAGAAAAUAAGAUUGUCCUUGUACUUGCUCUCUCAUUCCUGGGAGUCCUUCAAGGGUAUCAGAUCUUGCUUGAAACAGGUUUUUCUUUUGCGCUUCCCCUAGCGCAGGCAGUAGUUUGAUAGCGAGUUCACCUUCCUAGUAACGUUUGCUCAUUUCAUUCAUUCUCAUUCAAAUCUACUUCUAAGGCAUGUGAAGUACCAGUUGUGGACAGAUCCCUUGGCAGAGUAUCAACUUGAGAUUCUUCUUUCACCCUCCAGGAGUUCGGUUCUUUUCUUCCUAUAUCAGAAUACGACGUAGAGGCUGAGCCUGCCGAUUGAUCAGACUAGCCAACUAAGGGGCCAUUCACUUCUAUAGAAAAAUAGGUGUACUGCCCGAAAGCUUCUCUUUAUGAAAACCCCUCUGAGUCGUCUAUAGCCGCCAAAUCCCUUUUGAUUCUGUUGUCAGAGGUGCCUUUCAAUUUCAUUGACCUUGGUACUACAUUUCAUAGAUACCUUCGCUAUUACAGUAACGCAAUUCUCCACUGAACCCAUUGACCUAGGUACCAAGUCUGUUAUGCGUACGUCUUUUCGGACUCUUUAUUUGUUUGUGGACAACAAAAAUGCAAACAUGAGAAAAGGGGAUCAUUCCAUUUUGAACACACCCAUCUAUCUCAUCUGACCUCUCCGAAUUCCCGAGUAACGAACCAUGGGCUAUAGAUGGUUGGGACAUAUCAUCAUCCGGAGGGAGUGGUCUUAAUACCGAUGUCUUUCUUUAACCUUUGGGAGGUCGAACCACUGAACCUAUUUCUUUGACCUUGGGACCGAUAGAUAAGAAGGCAAGGCAGAAGAACCAAUUGAAUCGCGGAGAACAGGUAGCUCCGGCAUAUGAACUUGUCGAACCAUUCAACUAUACUGUAUAUCGAUUGGCCACAUCAACGCAUUUCACCUCGGAACUUGUACUUGGAAUAGAGCCAGCCUUGAGAUCCGCCACAUCUUCCUCAAGUCAGAGAGUUGAGAUAGAACAGCUUCGCCUUUGACCGGUUUGCUGCUUUCCUUUAUACACAAGCCCCUAUUAUUAAGGUAUGGAGGUUUUUUCUGGAAUGACCAAAGAACAAGAGAAGUUCAAUGAGGUGCAAACGCAAGAAUUAAAGCAACGAGGACAAGUGCUAGGAUAGGAUCCCGAAGGAUGGCAUGCCUAUUCAGCAACGUGCAGAAAGGAUGGCUUCACGCAAGAAUCUUGAUGAACCAGGUAUGUCUUCUACUAACAGAUAUGCUAUUUGCAAUUCCAUUGAUUCUGCUAGUCUAGUAAAAUCUGCUGUAGAUAGUGGUCUAGUGUUGGGCAGUACACAGGAGGAAAUUGACAGGUCUAUAAAUUCUAUUAAAGCAAGAGAACUUUCUCAAGCAUUGCUUUGUGAAGCUGCUCAGAAAAAGAAGUUAGCUGCUCAUGAGAAGGAGCAGUCUUCCAGUGUCGAGUUAAGCUUUGAUUCAGAGAAUGAGGAUAUUACUCAGAUUGUUGAAGAGUUAGAUAAUCACAGUACUUGUAUACCAGUUGGUGACAAGAACACUACAAGCAGAGCUAAGAGGAGGCAUAACAAAAAACAGAUACCGCCAUGAAGACACUAAUCUUGAAUGUGAGGGGCCUGGCCAGGCAGAAGGGGGCAACCUUAUGAAGUGAUAGAGUGGGUGGACAUAGUUUGUGUGCAAGAAACUAAGAGAGAACAGUUCUCAGAUAAAGAGUUAAUGGCAAUUGGUGGCAGAAAGCUUUUCAAGUGGUUUUGCAAGCCAGCCAGUGGCAGUAAAGGUGGAAUGCUUAUUGGAGUCAAUCUGGAUGUCAUGGAUGCAGACCUCGUUGGGGAGGGUCAAUUUCUCCAUGGUGUUUGAGUAUAGAGGCUUUGUGAUAAUUUUGCUUGGGUGGAUGUUUAUGGUCCAACCAAAUUUAAGAGCUAUGUUUUUGUCAGAGCUCACUAACUUUGUGCAGAGUGUUGAUCUACCUUUGCGGGACAUGAUCUGAUUUGCUCAUGAAACAAUGGCAGAAUACAUAUUAAUAGGAUGGAAGCUUUUAAUGCUUUCAUAUCUGAAACUGAACUACAGGAACUGAGAAGGGUUGGUGGCCUGGACUAACAAACAAGACAGGCCAGUGAGAGAAGUUUUGGAUAGAGUUCUGGUUUCUUCAACUUCUGAGGAUUUAUUUCCUAAGUUUUACUAUCCCUCUUGCAAGCUGGGUCAGAUCAUUGUCCUUUACUUCUAGAAAAUGGGGAAGAUAGGGGCUGCCACUAAGUUUCGUUUUGAACCAUCCGCAAGAAGGGUUUAGAGAUAUGCUGUUACAGAAAUGGCCUACAAGAACUGUUGCAAAUGUUCCAUUCCAGACUAUUGGCAACAAGUGUCUCAGGGCUUCAGGAAGUUCUUGAGAGGGUGGAAGGCAAAUGAUGCUACUGACAAUAGAAGAAGUAAAUCCAAUCCCUGCUUUAGCCUUGCUGCUUAUUCACUGGCAAUCCAACCAUACCAUUCUUGUCUAUCAGGAUCAGUCUUUCCCUCAAGUCACCUUAACAUGCUUCUUUCUUUCCUUCACUAUGCAGAUACAAAACUAGGUUGCGGACGCAUAAAGCCACUGAUACUAUUGGUCAGAAGUAUGAUUUGACAAAGACUACUACUUUAGCAGCUAUGCGAAAUGGAAGUUUCCUUCUUCUUGCUUGUUUGGCCAUCCGAAAGCAGAUACAGAUAUCGGGGAGAAAGCAGCUCUCUGAGCGAUGGAUACCGAUCGAUCUCGGUUAUUUUCAUUGAUCCUGGCCUAUCUCCAUAGCGCUCACCCAGAGGGAAUUCACUCAGCUCUGGGCCCAAACCCCGGCACUUUUGAUACUUCUCAUCUCAGGACAAGUCACAGAAGAGGUAAGGCGCUAUAGCUAGUGAAGGAACGGGAAAGAAGAAUCAGUGGAAUUGACCAAUAAUUUAUACCAUUACGACUUUGAAUAAUCGCUAAUAGCUGACACCAAUGGAAUAUUUUUGGACCCUAAGGCUCACGUUGACUCCGUCCUUUAUUGAAUAGCCAAGUCGUCGUGAGUAAGCGUACGAUCCAUCACACAAACGUCCCUAAACCUCAGUAAGCCUUUCUAGAUGAUGCAUUUCCCUUCUUAUCUAUCGAUGUAUUCAUCUGAGGCCACAGGCAGGUAUAUAUCUACGAGUGGUUUAUAUAAAGGAAGGUCCUGAUAAGAAUGCUGUUCGGAAAAGGCGAAACAAGUUGUGUUGACUGAGGCUCAGAAUACGUUCUUGCACCACUCCUUUCAAACACACAUACCCUUUCUUCUCACAAAUGUGAAAUUCCGGAACUCUGUGUGUAAUUGUUGCAACAACGAUAGGGACUCUGCCGAGGGCUCCCCGGUAGGUUCUAGUCUCUCUUUAUACUGCGACUGGAGCAAGGCGUAAUGGGAUGUGUUGUAUGUUGAUCAAGGAGGUGCUGCAUUGGCUGUAGCUGCAAGAGGUCUUGAGACAGAAAUUAUGCCAUUAUUGCUUCUUUCAUUUAAAAGCUUGAGUCAGUUCUAUCUAGCUAAGUUAUUCAAUAAAGUAGAUCGAAGUGUGUGAUGCUUGUGAGUUUGGCAACUACUAUAUAUGAUAUUUAUAACAAUACUUGAUACUUGAUUUAUGACUUCCUCUACCUAGACCCACACCUACUUUGAAUUUCACUUAACGGAGCGGCGGAUCCAAUAAAAAGGGACUACAUUCCAAUCCUACUUACCAGAAUACAUAGUUGUAUGGCAUUCGAACCCCACCUUCAUGGUUGUAUUCUAAUUAGCUGGAAAUGUAUGACCUAAGCUUCUCAACAGGCAUUCACUCAACAGAGCACUUAAUGAGUUUUCUAAUGGCUUGAAAGACUACUAUGUUUCUUUUAAGCUUAGUUGCAAAAGAAAAGCAAAGGGGAAUGCGGGUCCAUUUCGUAAUGCUUACGGUGAUAAAGAAAAGUAACUCCCAUCCGCGUGAGAGGCAUCGCUACCGGGUCGGGCCUUGAUUCCUUUCCUUGUCUCCAUUCUGAUUGAUUCGCUUCUUCGCGCAAGCACUUGGUUCGCCCCUUACUAUAACCAUCCCACUCAAUCUUUUACACCAAUAUUUCGUACUCUCUCGACCAGGUCAUCAUAAGAAAAUACUGCCAAAUCUUUCCGAAAUGAGAGAAGGAGGGAAGGCGCGCUACAACUAACUGUUGAAAAACGCAAGAUUAGCGCUAAGAAGCAACCCUAGUUUAAGUACUAGCGUCCCACCCCAACGUUCGUGUACUUCAAAAUACUCUCGCCCGCUUGCUGCUCGCCUCAGCCAGACGUGGCUUAUGUAGUGGUCGGCAUUCCUACGUGCUCCGACUGAUCCCCACUGGAGAUUAUAUGAGGGGUCUUGGAAACUGUCGUGACGCUUUGGUGACGAAGGUCACCGGGGUGACUAUGGAAGGAUUCUGUGGUAGUCUCUGACUCCCUCCAACUCAAUCAAUAUCAAUAACAUGUCGUGAGCAUGGGGUUUGGUUAGGCUUGGUUGAGUUUGUAAGAAAAGAUAGUAGGUUGAGGGGCUUCAUUGAUUAGUAAACCUACGGUGCUGGUAAGGUCGGGACCGUGGUCGUCCGUCUCCGCUUUGCCGGCCGAUAAGAUCACUGAGAUUGACCAGCCAGCUGGGUAGGUUUGGCUAUUCCUUUCUAUUGAAAAGGAGUCAGCUGUCUGCGCGAGUCACCUUCCUUAGGCUCCGAGUCACCUUCUUCUAAGCUCCGCUGGACGACACGGCAUUCUCGUUCUAUAGGCCGGCCGUACUUGUGAUGGUUCCCCAGGAUCCAAUAAAUCCACUUAGGUCUACGUUGCCGCGAUAUUGUUCUAUGGAAGCGGGUGGGCUGCUUUUUAGAAGUUCGGCCCGGUUUUUCAUUAAAAAAAUCAAAAAGGGGGGGAGGGAUUGACCUUUCUAACGCAUAUUCUGUCGUACCGGCAUGGCCCCACUGAUUUGUUUUCGAUCGGAGCAUCAAGCAGCGCAACCCGGUUCUACUUGACUAAGCCCCGUGCUCGUCCAAGGAGGGAGUUUGCUUUACCCAACUCCCCUUUUUGAUAACAAGGCAAAAACCUCCGACCCGACAUUCAUGAGUUUCGAAUGAAGAAUGAAGAGUGCCCUGCCCCUCUUUUUUUCCCUAAAUCUUGGAUUUAGAAGUUGGUAAAGACCCACCCCUUGUUUAAGUCAGAAUGAGUCCCCGAGACAUUGGCUUCCACCAACAGUGAACUAUUAAGGAUCGCAUCCCGCGCAUAUUCUACAUUAUAGCCUGCAACUAAUUCAGCUUCCGCUUCUGGGAGAUCAGACGGAGCUCGAUUAGUUUCUGCUAGACGAGGAAUAAGGAACAUAACCAAUACGUGGAACAAGGGAAUACCGGACCAUAUCUGCUUUUGCGCCAUGACAAUCUCACUCGAAUUACAGGGACCUACACAUAUUAGUACAGUAUACCGGGGUCCCCGGCCAGAACCACACGUGCAAGUUUCCCUGCAUGUGGCUCGUCCGUGCUUUUAUCCGAGGCGCUGCCUGCGACUCUGCAUGGGAGAAGAGGGCCGAACUGCAAACUUUCGUGUUCAGAGCAUUGCAUUGUCUAAGGGAGUAGGGUGAGUAAGCUGCGCCUACCAAGCUAAGCUUUCGUCGAAAAGGCGUCACUGCUUCCUUUUUGGCGCCCGCCCUUUAUUUAGAUGUUGGGGCAAGGCAAGCCCAAGGAAAGUCUAGGUUGGCACUCCAUCUCGGCCGGCAUCCUGCUCUCGAGAGGGUGUGGUCCUUGAGCGAACUAGUCAUGUGCUCUGUUGCCCCAACCCAGGGGCAUUUGGUGAGGAGCUACGGUCCGGUGGUUGACAAGCCACUGAUCGGAGGCGACUGGACUGGAGUGCUUUCAUCAAAUGAUGCAUGUGGGCUGAGCCAUUCCCAUCCCAAGUGGUGGCCCGAUUCGGCCUGGCCUGGUCGGAAAGAGAUUCUAAAUCUCGAAUAUGCGCACCGAGAAUAGAUAUCUAUGUUAGCUAGCGGGGGCGGGCUUUCCCCUGGUAGUCCCGCUGCGUCCUCUGACAGUCCGUCUCGUCUCAUCUUUCUUUGGCUAUACUUGUAGCCAGCCAUAUUAGCUCCACAUUCCACCCUUUUUGAUUUCUAACGAAAAAGGCAGUCAUCAGUCGCCCCCUUUCCUAUUUAGCUUUGCUUGCUGCCUAUUAUGAGAAUAGGUCCCGGUUCAAGCGGCCCGCCUUUCAUCAUCAUCUAUACCAGCUGCCACGCACGAUCCCAUAGGAAUGAUUUCAUCGCCCUAAGAAGCAGAACGCGCCAUCACCUACAGCCCUUUCCUCUGCCGGGGACUUUCACGAAAUGAAAACGGGCGGCAUCAUCGUAUGCUCGACAUUAGUUGCCCUGGUGUAUAUCCCGGAGUACUCCUAUGGCCGAUCUGUCACCCAUACAUGAAGGCCUUGGCCCCGUCCCGUGUGGAGAAUGCCCCCCUUACGGCACGGCUUAGUCUGUUAUUUUAUUUUGUCGGAGUGGAUUCGGACCGCCACUUCUCUGAAAGCAUGGUUCUUGCCUCCCUCUCUCCUCCCUCCUUGGAGCUCGUCCAUUCGGUGGGUGAUCCCUUGCUCUCACGUUCGAGUGUUUGCUCGUCGUUUAGGCCAGUGAGUGACAUUUUUGCUCAUUGCAGUCGCCUCCGGGGUUCUUCGCACCUGGGUAGUACCAGGACCCUUGUGCCCCAGACUGCACUGCCCGCCCUAUGACCCAAAACUCAAAAUGAGCCUUGCGACGAGACGCGGACAUUCCUCAUGCUGCAGUUCCCUCCGGUCCGUUCCCGGGUUGGGUUAGGGGAAGAUCUGAGCGAUUGCCUUCGCGGAUCCAAACAUGCUCACAAGGCGCACAAUAAGAAUAAGACCAAUAGAGACUUCAUAAGGGACCAUUUGAGCUGCAGAUCAUAAUGCUCCUAGAAAGGCUUAUUUCGAAUAUAGAGGACGUUCCCAACAAUCCACGAGAAUAUCAUACCCAACUAUGAACUGUACGAGCACAUCCUCUGUCACCCCCACCGCGCUUACGGCUCUAUACCCCAACCCAACUUGCUUUGGCCCUGGGUCCUCCCGCAUCUCUUCCUCGGUAAGCGGACCAUGGAAGCUGGGGAGUAUCCGCUUGGGACUGAUAGAAAACAGCAUAUCUUUUCCCUCCUGACCCCUAUAAAAAUCUAGUGGAAGUCCGGUCGCGUCGGAGACAUCUUUAUCUGAUUUUGAGGCUUCGUCGUCCGGCUCCUCCAAAAUUAUGUUAGGAUCGGCUGGCUCAUCCUCAUCAUCCAAAAAGAAAACAUAGACAAAACAGAUUUGUUUCAAUGACAUAUCUAAUCAGACUGAAAUUGAUGUCGAAGACACGAUCAUUCACAUCAAUUGAAGCAGGCAGGAAGGGCGCGGAAGCUACCGUUUAACGAAUGCAAUGCAAGCAAGGUAGCUUGCUUACUCUCCAUCUAGUGUGUGUUGGCGGCAAGGAAGGAGGCAUUGGAAAGACUAGACCAUACACAUUAAUUAGUACAAGAAAGAGGCAUUCGGGAAGCGACUAGUCGCUUCUGGCGAAGCUUAACAAAGGCCGACUACUACAUAGAGUACUACCAGUCAUGAGCGAUAGUGAAGCUGUCUGAGGCAGAAGCUGUCGCUUGACGGACGAAGCCGAGCCGAUACGAUAGGCGGGCGAAGUGAGCGAGACCAAGACGGGCCAGACGUGGAGUGGCGAAGGGGGCCUACUAUACGUAUACGUGAUUAGUAAGCGGUUCAAGACAUCGAAUGAAAAAUCAAGUGAACUAAUGAACAGUGUGAUUGAUCAGACAAGUACCAAGGUGCAAUAAAACGUAUGCGCUUUAGCAAGGGAUGAGCGCGAAAUCCGUUGCUUGUUCUUUCGGUAGCCUUCUUUCAUUUCCGAAUUUGCUUGCGAGCAGUCCUUGCAUUAGUAUGAGUUCGUUGACCGCGUAAGGGCGAUCCAUCUUGAUGACGAAUUCCACGAUAACGAGAAAUAGAAAUUAAUCGUUCGAUGUCUGCUCGUUCUCCCCUCUUCAAUUCCCAAUGAACAACAUGAUCUUGAGCUAUCAUUUGUUCAAUUUGGUCGAUCUGAUACUUAGUUAACUCAUUCAUCUUGAUGUUCCCACUGAUACCUAACCGAUAACGAAGCUGAAUGGCUUUUUCGGUCCAAUUCCAUCCAUUUUUGUUGAGGCAAUUCUUACUUGUUCAUCGGGAAGUGAUCUAGCUCCUGAGAUAUAUGACAUUCUUUAUCCUUAUCUUUUCCUGGUCUUCUCGGCUGGAAUCUACAAUCUACACCUCUCCAAACACAAACGCAAUAUCUUGAGUACCCGGAACCAUGUUCAAUGCUGCAAAAGCGCAGCUGUAGCCCCCUAGAAUCUUCGGCUCCUCGUUUUUAUUCAAUUAUGAAAUGACUCAUUUUGAUGGAGAUUUGUAGCAUCAUUCAAGUAAAUACAAAUUGAGAUCGUAGAAACAUGAGCUUGUGAUAUAGCUACACCUAAUUCCAGACCGGUUAAUGCUAGAACUAUAAAUAAGGGACCAAGAUCUCCUAUGAAAUAGAAAAUAUUAUUCAGAAAUAGCAUAGUCCAAGCAAACCCACUUAAAAUCUUUACUAAACUAUGACCGGCCAUCAUAUUAGCAAAUAAACGUAUUCCUAAGCUUAAUGCACGAAAACAAUAAGAGAUUAGCUCAAGGAGUACUAAGAAAGGUGCUAACGGCAGUGGGACUCCCGCAGGUAAUAAGAAGCUACAAAAAUGAAGCCCAUGUCUUUGAAAUCCAACGAUCGUAAUGCCUAUAAAAAUGGAAAAUGAAAGAGCCAAAGUAAUGAGAAAAUGACUUGUCACUGUGAAGCUAAAGGGUAUCAUACCCUGGGGAUUACGAAAUAACGAAAAAGUAAAAGUGACCGAGAUGCGAGGGAAAAACUUUUGUUUCACAUUUCCGGAAAGACCACCUAUUUGUUUGUUUACCAGGUUCAGCACGAAAUCAUAAAUAAGCUCGACCAAGGAUUUCCAUGCAUUUGGCACUGACUUUCCACCUCCCUUUUUCGUAACAACAAAAAAAAGAAAAACGACCAAAACGACAGUGAGCAGCAUAUACAAGACUUCAUUUGUAAAUGAUAAAUAAAAGUUGCCCACAUGAAGAUCAAUUAUUGGGAUAAUGGCAAAUUGAUCCAAUGGGGUUUCCGGGUAGGCACCAGGCAGAUUCUGGAUAAAAUUAUCCAUACCACCACCCGCCCGAAUAUCCUCUAAUAUGCCCUGCCAAGUUUCGCCAUUUCGGUGGCGGGCUCCCAAUACUGUUCUAGCUAAAUUGACUGCUCCCUGUUCGGACUCAUUUUGGCCCAAAUACUCUUCUAUUUGUAAAACUAUUGUGACGCCGGCAAUUCGCUCAGGCGUUGGCGUUAUAUCCAAGUUUGGCGUUAUAGCAAAGUUCUGAGAGAUGUUGGUUGGGAAAAAAUCAUGUAGAUCGGGAAGACGGGAACACUUACUACGAAUUGGUCGAUUCGUUGUAAUAGCAGCAAAUAGCAUAUUUCUAUCCUUCAUAUCCGUAGAAAGAAAUCUCAUCUCCAGGUAACUCCAUCUUUUUCAGCUCUGCUCGCUCACUUUUGAAAGGAGACUGAUCUUGACGUCGGCGUUGGUUUUUCCAACGAAAAACAAGAACAUUCUUUCACGAACUUCCAUGACAAAAUGCUAGUUGCCUUGUAAUGCAUACACUGGAGCGUUUGUCCCAUCGACGAAGGCCACUAUACGCGUUUUCUGAAGAGCAACAUUCUCUUAUAACCAAACAUCGCAAAGACAGAAAGGAGUAUCCUGAACGUAAGGCCAAUGGCUAGCAGACUUCACGGAACACUCACGAUAUUCAGCUAAAGCUGGAUGCAUAUUAUAUCUUGCCUUGGUAGAGCGAAACUUUGAACCCAACACAAGCAACUCUCCCGGUUUAGCGAUAUUGAUGGGUUCCAGCCUCAUUCCACUAGCCCUAAAAGCAUUCUAAAUAUAUAAAAGAGGGGGAAUGGAUUCUACAAGAAAAGGCGGGCAAAGGUAGUUCAGGGGUCAAUUCUUGGAGCAUAGCUCAUUUCUAAGUCCCCAACCCAUCUCGUGCUCGUGCUGUACGCGAUCGAAUCUUGCGGCCGGAUAGAGCAAUGGAAUCACCGAGUCGUAUGAAAAGAGGGCUCUUCUUUUUAAUCUUAACACAAAGGCUAGCUCCCCUGGGGGUUGUCAUAUUACAAUCAUUUGUAUUACUUUCCUACCAAUCCUGAACUAGCUAUGACCCUUAUAGCGAGCCUCGCUUUACCGUUUCAGAUAGAAACAUAUGGCGCUCCUAAAGUCGAUUGGAUGCUUUCUUUUUUAUUGAAUUAAGCUAAGCCGUGGACUUUAUCACGUGAAGAACUCCUUCUUAUGAGCUCAUGGACUUGAUCAAUGCUAGUUCAAGUUCACGUCAUAUUAGGAAAUUAGUUCAUUAAUUCGUUUAUUUGCCAACGAAGAAGCCUUGCGCUACUCGGAAAGUACUGACUAGAGGGGGGCGUGUGGAUCCACAGUCCUAGCCAUUCUCACAAUGGGAUAAUAAAGCGAACAAAGACCAUGAGAAGAGAUUACAACAUCCAGAACGAAGCCUGUCAAGCCAACCUUCCCUCACUGCGAAAAUGCAACAUCCGGCGUACUCAUUGGCUUUGACCUCAGAUUCAUUACUUGCUAGAGAAGUAGUUUACAUAACUGUCACAGCUCCAAUGCGAUAAUCUUGUUAAUCAGCAAAGUCGCUAGCCUAAAUAAGGAGUUUACAAUCGCUUGACUAUAAAGUAAAGAGCGGCUAAUGGGAGAUUGCUUGAGUAGGCUCAGUAAGGGAUUACCCGCGGGCAGGGUGAAAGAGCUUUCAUUAAUAGUAUGAACUGGUGGAUCAGCAAGAUAGCUAGAGCUCCUUAAAGGAAAGCAAAAUCCAAUUCUAUAUUAUAUCAAACUAUAAAGCAAAGAUGAGGAAGCUGCGCCUUUACUCGCUCGAAUUAGAGGAAAAAGGGGAUAUGCAGCAGUAACAGCUUUUCUUUCAAUAGUAAGCAGGAAAUGCGAAUAAGAGAAGGGUAGAAGAAGCGAUCCGCGCAUUUCCUUAUAUCACAACGGAUUUGACUCGUUAGAGAAAUCAUUUCUUAGGUAUGCUACAUUCUUUGAAGAAAGAGUAGGUUCUGCUAUUUAAGACUUAGAGGAAGUGAUUUCCGGGAACUAGCAGACCAAGCCAAUCAACAAGGAAAGCCUGUCAAGCAAGGAAGCCACCAAGCAAACCUUUAAUAAGCAUCUCUAGCGCAGUCACUUCUCUAUAGAAAGAAAAAACCUGCAGUCAAGACUAGUCACAUUAGUGAAACAAGUGAUUCCCUGACAUUCAAUUCAAAUAGAAAGAGUAGUCACAGCUGCGACAAGUUGCUCUAAGAGGAAGGAGUUGACUUACUUUCAAUUCCUAAUACAGCAAGAGCGGAUUUUUUUCAUGUAGCAUUUCUACCCCUAUAGGAUUUCCCAUCUUAACCGAAAAUGGGUGCCCACCUUGUACGUACCGAGAAUGGGUGCAGCCCACCCCAUCUAAAGUAGCCUGAAAUUCGUUCCUCUACAAUCCAGAGCAGUCCGAACAUGUACCGCGAUCUGGACGAACAAAGAAUGCUGUACACUUGAGUGACCCCCUUUUCUGUGACCACCACCAAAUUCAAAAGAAGAGGUGAGAUCACCCUACAAAAAUCCUUUGUAGCUCUUAAAAUAUGGGCCAACCUCUCCAUUAAUAUUGAUACUCACUGCACCUCCUUCUACCACUUGUUUAAUCCAACCUCUCCACUUCUCACUAAAGAAAACCCUUUUUAAGCAAAACCUCUUGUAGAAAAUCCCAAUUCACCCUGUCAUAUGCUUUUUCAAAGUCUAGCUUUAGUAUGACCCCUCUUGUUUAGUCCUCCUAAGCUCAUGAAACACCUCAUGGAUAGUGACCACCCCAUCUAAAAUAUUUCCGUUUUUCAUAAAUGUCGUCUGACUCUUACUCACCACCUUAUCUGCAACUCUCUCAAGCCUAUUUGUCAGUACUUUAGUCACAAUUUUAUAACAAACAUAAUAUAAACAUAUUGGCCGAUAUUGCUUGAUAGUUGCAGCAUCUUUCGUUUUAGGAAUCAGAGUAACCACCCCAUAAUUAAGUCUUCUAAGUUGCAACUCCUCAGCAUGCGGGCUAUCAAGCAUUCUUUUGACCAUCUCUUUAACCAUCUCCCAAAAAUGUUUCUAAAAGAUUACUGGUAAGCCAUCUGGGCCAGGAGCUGUAUUGGUUUUCAUCUCUUUAACUACUAACUCUAAAACCUCCAUAGUGAAAGGCUUAGUCAACUCUUCAUUGUCUAGUUCCGAUAGCAUGUGCUCUGUUGACCAAGGGGCUUCCACCAAGAGAUAUGUCCCCCCUGUCCUCUGAACCAAAUAGUCUCUUAUAGUAACUAGAAAUGUGUUCUUGCAACUCUUUCUCAUCUUGUAUAACAUUUCCUUCAUGUUCCAAAGAAGCAAUAUUACAUUUUAUGUGUCUUCCAUUGGCAGCACUAUGGAAGAAUGAAGUAUUUGCAUCUCCCUCAAGUAACCACUGACAAACUGACUGACAAUGUGGACUGCAUGAGCAAUGUCAGGCCGGGUCACAGUGAGGUACACAAGGCUGCCUACAAGAUGACGAUAGCGAGUGGUAUCCCUCAAGAGGAGUACCAUCACUAGGGCGCAAUUGGAGAUGGAGCUCCAUGGGUGUAGCGGCAGUGUGUGUAUCGGUAAGACCUAAGCGUGAGAUCAAAUCCUGAGUAUAGCGAUGCUGAGAGAGAUAGUAACCAUCAUUAGUUUUAUCAACCUCAAUUCCCAGAAAAUAACGGAGAGAAAAUCAAUCUGACAUCUUGAAUUGCUCACUCAACUUUUUAUUAAAAAAAGCAAUGUACUUCUGAUCAUCUCCAGUGAUCAACAUAUCAUCAACAUAGAGAAGAAGCAAGGUACGACCGCGGUCAGAUGUAUGAGUGAAAAGUGCAGGGUCAUGCUCACUAGAAGAGAAACCAGCAGCUUGAACCACAGAGCUGAACCGCUCAAACCAAGCACGAGGUGGUUGCUUUUUUCCCAUAGAGGGCCUUUCGAAGGCGACAAACAUGACCAUCAGGAACUUCAAUACCCAGAGGUGGCUGCAUAUAGAAAAAACUCAUGUAGAUCACCAUGAAGGAAAGCAUUUUUGACAUCCAUUUGAGAGAUUUGCCAAGAUCGAGCUGCAGCCACAGCAACCAGAGUACGAACAAAAAUUGAAACAACGCAACCAUACUAUCUAUUUACGAUAAUUUGAUUGCUGACAACACGACAACAUCACGCUUCUCUUUAUUAUUCUUAUUUAUAUCAUUGUCACUUUACCGGGCCGAAAAAGUGACACCGUCACGUCUCAGGGUCGUAUGCCUGGAACAAGAAGGGUCGUCGUACAAUUUCGGCGAUUACAAAAAAGAAGGGGGCAAGCUCCCUAUCCCUCUUUGUCUUUCCACUUCCCUCGUUCAGGAACAAACACUUCGCCAAAUUCUUUUGAGUCCCGGCCCGGUUUUUCCCCACUAACCAAUUACGUUACGACCACUGAACAAACUUGGUUGACGAACAUGGUUUAUGUGUCGCUAAUCUAGCGGCUUGUCGAGCAUUUGACAAACUCACACCAUCCAUUUCAAAUGGGAUUUGUCCCGUGGACACACGAGAAAUCCAACCCGUCGGAUUUCCUUUUCCUCUUCCCAUUCGAACUUCUGCGGGUUUCCCCAUAAUAGGAAGAUCUGCGAGAACUCUUACCCAUAUCUUACAAUUUCUUCGGAAUUGUCCGCUCAUAGCACGAUGGAAUUGUUCGAUUGUAGCCCGACGUGCUGCUUCAAUGACUCGAUAUGAAAGACGACCAGCUCUACAACUUUUGGUGCCAUAUCUUCCAAAACCAAGUUGUGUACCAUCCGGUUCGCGACCCCUACUACAUCUGCAUUUAAAAUAUUUACUAUAUUUCGUACGUUUCGGAUAUAGCACGUCCCUUCUUAUUUUGACUAUAUGAGAUCCGCACUUUGACACCUGAAAUUCCGUUACGAGUAGAUACUUCCGUAGGAGCAUAAUCGAUUUUAUGGUUAAAUACAUUACAAGAUGUUUUUCCAUACUUUCCGCAUUCAGUUCUAGCUAUUUCCGCACCCCCUAAUCGACCAGAACAACAAAUACGUAUCCCCUCCACCCCUUUUGGCAUUAUUAAUGGAAUAUCCUUCACUAUUUUACUAAAAAUGGAACGAAAUGAGAUUGGAUUGUUCCUCACUUGAAAAGAGAUGUCUUGAGCAAUCAGAGAAGCACUUUGAUAAACAGAUUUGAUCUUUACCGACUCAAUUAAGGUAUUUGUGUUUGUUCUAUUAGACAAAAAAGAUCGCAUUUUUUGCACUUCGUUCAAAUAAGAGUUGUACCCGUACGGAAUUAUCCUCUUUCUCAGUAUGAUCUCUAUCAUCAUCUCUAUUCCCUUUAUCAAUUUUCCUAUCCUACCUAGGUCUAUGAAUUUCUCUAUCAAUUCCAUUACCUUAUCCUUACCCAUGAGGUUCCUACAUUUGAUCCUAAAUUGAGCUAGGAGUUGUUUCCGGGCAUACUCAAAAAAAGGGUUAUUAUACACCCCAACCCCAUCCCUUGGAAAAAAGAAGGUAG
rnacentral:lncRNA from 1 species